rnacentral:rRNA from 1 species
GCCUACGGGGGGCAGCAGUGAGGAAUAUUGGUCAAUGGGAGAGAUCCUGAACCAGCCAAGCCGCGUGAGGGAAGACGGCCCUAUGGGUUGUAAACUUCUUUUGUCGGGGAACAAAGGCGGAGACGCGUCUCCGGAUGAGUGUACCCGAAGAAAAAGCAUCGGCUAACUCCGUGCCAGCAGCCGCGGUAAUACGGAGGAUGCGAGCGUUAUCCGGAUUUAUUGGGUUUAAAGGGUGCGCAGGCGGGAGAUCAAGUCAGCGGUAAAAUGUCGGGGCUCAAACCCGGCCGGCCGGUGAAACUGGGUUU